GAAAAUCUAGAAGACUCAUUACAUGUAGGGGUACAAGAACAUUGUGCUUUCUUCCCGUUGCUGGGAGAUUCUAUUUUACCUUUAAGGGUCCCCGCUAUUAACCAUGGAAGAAGAACGUCCCAAAGAACUUAUUACGUGCAAGAACCAUAAGUCCUGAGGGAAGCUAGAAGAUCUGACAAGGAGAAAGACAGAUUCACAUUACAGGCCUGAAUAUAGACGGGAUGUGGUACGCAUAUUAUUAUUUAAUUCUCACUUGGAAACCACCAACACAGAAAAGGCGCUGGGAUAUAUAGAUAUAUUUAAAAAAAAAAAAAAAAAUAUAUAUAUAUAUAUAAUAUUUUUUUUUUUUUUUUUUAAGGUAAAAUCACUUUGGAUAGGGUUAAAUUCAUGUUCUUCACCUAGUUCACUCAUAAACCCCCAAACCUUCCCCCCCCCCCCCCUUUCCCCGGCAAUUUUUGCGCGGUUCCUGGCAAAAUAAAUAGUUAAGUGGUUAAAGAUCUGUAAAACUCUGCAUUAAUACAGUUAUGUGUUUUGUUUUUAGUGGUGUUUUUUUUUUUUUAAUGUUCUCUGUAUGCUC